AAUUUGUAUUAGAACACGGGAUUCUGGAUUCUGUUGCAUAGACAUAUACAUUCCAAAAGAAUAAAAAAUUUGUGUUCACCGUUCCCGGAUCUCUUUCUGCCCUAAACCUCUCUCCCUUUCCGUGUUUCCCAGUUUCGGUAGCACACAAAGAAAACAUCAACAGUUAGCAUAUGAUUUCAAAGUAAGUGAAGCAUUGAUUUAGCUCGAUUACGAUUACGAUUCCGCUAUUAUAACCAAGUUCGUAGACGAAACAAUUUCAUCUCGUAGCUCAAGAUUAUGAGGUAUAUUGCAGUGAAUGGAGAUGGGGGUUGUUGUACACCAAGCCGAGCGAAAUCAGAAUUGGCAUACGGAGAUUAACUAUGAUUUCAUUCGAGAGAACUUGAAUAUACUAGAUUGAGAUGAUGAGUCUGUAUCACACAAAUUUUUUGUAAAGUACCAUGGAUCACCGUUGUAUACACCGCCAGUUACCAGUACAAGUACUUGGAAACUUGCGAAAACAACAGUUCUCAGGAAUAUCGAGCAGUAUCCCGAUGCCUCCAAAGUUGCAUUCUCAUCGUGAGAUGUCAUGUCUCCCCAUUCCUCUUUACGACCCUGAUAUUCCUCUGUUCUAUGAAAUUCUCGCUCACUCGGGAUUUUCGCGAGCUAUUUUCCAAUUAAGUGGGGACUGCAUCCGUCUGAUGUUAGAGUUUGCUAACUGUGGCGCUGGUAAAGGAUCUCUGUACUCCAAAGAACUUAGGGAUCCUAAAUUUGCAGACUUGGAAAUAAUUGCUGAGAAAUACACAGUAGCGAGU